ACGUAUAUACAGAGCCUCCCUGGCCCUCCUGGAAAGAGUCCUGGAAAGACAACCUUCAGGUCCAGCCCUGGAGCUGGAGGAGUGGAGCCCCACUCUGAAGACGCAGCCUUUCUCCAGGUUCUGUCUCUCCCAUUCUGAUUCUUGACACCAGAUGCAGGAUGGUGUCCUCUCCCUGCACGCAGGCAAGCUCACGGACUUGCUCCCGUAUCCUGGGACUGAGCCUUGGGACUGCAGCCCUGUUUGCUGCUGGGGCCAACGUGGCACUCCUCCUUCCUAACUGGGAUGUCACCUACCUGUUGAGGGGCCUCCUUGGCAGGCAUGCCAUGCUGGGAACUGGGCUCUGGGGAGGAGGCCUCAUGGUACUCACUGCAGCUAUCCUCAUCUCCUUGAUGGGCUGGAGAUACGGCUGCUUCAGUAAGAGUGGGCUCUGUCGAAGCGUGCUUACUGCUCUGUUGUCAGGUGGCCUGGCUUUACUUGGAGCCCUGAUUUGCUUUGUCACUUCUGGAGUUGCUCUGAAAGAUGGUCCUUUUUGCAUGUUUGAUGUUUCAUCCUUCAAUCAGACACAAGCUUGGAAAUAUGGUUACCCAUUCAAAGACCUGCAUAGUAGGAAUUAUCUGUAUGACCGUUCGCUCUGGAACUCCGUCUGCCUGGAGCCCUCUGCAGCUGUUGUCUGGCACGUGUCCCUCUUCUCCGCCCUUCUGUGCAUCAGCCUGCUCCAGCUUCUCCUGGUGGUCGUUCAUGUCAUCAACAGCCUCCUGGGCCUUUUCUGCAGCCUCUGCGAGAAGUGACAGGCAGAACCUUCACUUGCAAGCAUGGGUGUUUUCAUCAUCGGCUGUCUUGAAUCCUUUCUACAAGGAGUGGGUUCAGGCCCUCUGUGGUUAAAGACUGUAUCCAUGCUGUGCUCAAGGAGGAACUGGCAAAUGCUGAAUAUUCUCCAGAAGAAAUGCCUCAGCUUACAAAACAUUUAUCAGAAAACAUUAAAGAUAAAUUAAAAGGUAAUCAUGGUGA
rnacentral:lncRNA from 1 species